rnacentral:misc_RNA from 1 species
AAAGUCGUAACAAGGUUUCCGUAGGUGAACCUGCGGAAGGAUCAUUAACACGUAUCCAAACGUUAAACUCCCCUGUGAACCUUCAGUCGUACUCGUACGUCCGUUAGAAAAAGCAGCAAUCCCUGGUAAAUCAUCGCCGAACAGUUUUCGAUUCAGGGACGUCUGCAGGCCUGGCAUCCCCAAGCAGUUAGUGUCUGAAAGUGUCACUAACGUUAGUGUCUGAAAGUGUCACUAACAUGUGUAAGGAUGACGCAGUCACGAUCGUUGGAGGCCCACACGGCCGACGACCGGGUCACUGGGUGCAAGCCCCCUUAUCACACCCCUGCUCUAUCUAUGGUGAUCCUGCGGGAAGUCCUGCGGUCGAACGCCGAAACCGAACAACUGUUAACAAUGGAUAUCUUGGUUCUC